UUCGGAAGACUCAUCUAGCCCUUGGGUGCUGACCAGCAGAGCUGCUAGUGGAUAUUGGAGUUACAUGAGCUACGUGUUAAUAUUCAGUCUCCAGAAUAAACGUCCCAGCGUUGCCCUGACCUGGCUGGAGGGCGCAUUGCUGUCUGUGCCUGUGUUGUGCACAGCCACAGUUAGUAACUGGGGAAGCUUCUGUACUAGUCUCCUUCAACGCAGCUGGCUUUGACUGAGUGCUUUGACAGUUUGAGACUUCACCAAGUAUAGUAGAAAAACAAAUGGCCUCAACUUGAUCUUACCUGAGUAACCAAGGCUGCUUUUGCUUUGGGUACAGCUAUUUAGUUAGUUGUGUUACAAAGAAUUAUUUUCUGAGAGAAUCUUAAACUUAGAAUAUUCAGAUGCAGUAGAUACUGGCGUGUGGAGAUUCACAGACGACCUCAGCACCCAUCCCACCAGGUCCCUGGACUCACGGCCUUUCCUUCAUUUGCCAUUCACAUUGCUGCUCACAAAACAGAACUCGGUGACUUUGUUUUGAUAUAGUUUUGUGGACCAUCUCAAAUUAAAACUAUUUUCUGUAAAAAAUCUAUAGCCAGGAGUUUUAUAAACUCACCUGGCACCUACUGAGCUAAAAUAUGCAAAAUCUGAACUAAAAUAUGCAAAAUCACUUUAAUAUAAUUUGACAUUUGAGGAGUACCAUUGCACUAACAGGAAAUCACUGCCGGAGACAGCCCACAUUUCCUUGUAGUUGUUAUUAGGGCACAAACCACUCCACAGUCCCAGUGUGGAGUCACAGUCUAGAGAGAAAUGCACGUGCUUAAAUGAUACAGCUUUAAUCUGUAUUAUGACUGCUGGUGGUAAGAGGAAUAUCUUUAAAUUUCUUAUGAAAACAAAUCCACAUUCAUUAUUUCACAUUUGUCUAAGAGGUUAAGUAUCUGAAGGGAGGGUAGUGUAGAUAGCAAAUGACAGAGACAGUACACACCUAGUGUAUUGUCACUGAAGUCUUAGGUUUAACUUUGACAUCACAGGUCCCUUCCAGGGGUACCACUGGGUAGCUGCAGUGUGCACCGGUCACUACAUUCAGGCUAUUUGAGGUUUUCAUAUGCUGCAUUUCUUUGUUUUUAACACCUGGUUUUAUAGGUUCUCUUUCGUUUGUUAAGAAACUGGAUUCUUUUCUCCUAACCAGUGCUUAAUUUGUGUUUUUGGAUUUUCUUUCAGAAGUAGUCAAAUGUCUAUGCUGUUACAUCCAGAAUAUUCAUUAGGCUGCCCCACAGCUCUUCUGUAUAUAUAGAGACCACAGAGUUAGGAUUUUUUUUAAUGAGAAAAAUACUGUAUUUAAAAUGUAAAAUAAACUUUUAAAAAGCAAGCACUAAUAUAUAUUUCUUUCAGCCUUUGAUUACAGUUUUGUCCUUGCACAUGUUAAGAUAAAUUAUCUUCUAAAACCUUGUUCUUGGGAGCAGUGAAUGUCACUUUACAUGGCUGUUUCUGUCACAUGUUCAUAUCUGAACAUUUUUGGUUAUAACUUUUUUAUUGCCUUUGGCUGUUGAUUAGUACAAGUGCAAUUUCAAAAAGAUCUUGAAAGUAAUAUAUUUAAUCAAUUAAAAUGUUUCUCUGUAAGUCGUCGAUGUUUCUGUUAAUACAGUUUCCUGAAGC
rnacentral:lncRNA from 1 species